GACGAACCGUGCGAACGUUAUUCGGAAUCACUGGGCUUAAAGGGCGCGUAGGCGGAUUUGCAAGUCUGCGGUGAAAUCCUCCAGCUUAACUGGAGAAGUGCCGUGGAUACUGCGAGUCUCGAGGAAGGUAGGGGCAUCUGGAACUGCCGGUGGAGCGGUGAAAUGCGUUGAUAUCGGCAGGAACUCCGGUGGCGAAGGCGAGAUGCUGGAUCUUUUCUGACGCUGAGGCGCGAAAGCCAGGGGAGCAAACGGG
rnacentral:rRNA from 1 species